rnacentral:rRNA from 1 species
AGGGAAUCUUCCACAAUGGACGCAAGUCUGAUGGAGCAACGCCGCGUGAGUGAAGAAGGUUUUCGGACCGUAAAGCUCUGUUGUUGGUGAAGAAGGAUAGAGGUAGUAACUGGCCUUUAUUUGACGGUAAUCAACCAGAAAGUCACGGCUAACUACGUGCCAGCAGCCGCGGUAAUCGUAGGUGGCAAGCGUUGUCCGGAUUUAUUGGGCGUAAAGCGAGCGCAGGCGGAAGAAUAAGUCUGAUGUGAAAGCCCUCGGCUUAACCGAGGAAUUGCAUCGGAAACUGUUUUCUUGAGUGCAGAAGAGGAGAGUAGAACUCCAUGUGUAGCGGUGGAAUGCGUAGAUAUAUGGAAGAAUACCAGUGGCGAAGGCGGCUCUCCGGUCUGCAACUGACGCUGAGGCUCGAAAGCAUGGGUAGCGAACAGGAUUAGAUACCCUGGGUAGU